AACGCCUCUCUACGAACAGAAGCUGCUCGUUUGCAAUCACCAAGCUUCGAUUCCAAAGAAUAAGACGGUGUUUUCCCCUGAACAACAGAUUGUAUAAUCUCCUCGUCAUUCUCGGAUACUGCUGGUGUAAUUAUAGGUGCAGGCUUCUCCGCAACGGAUAAAGCUACCUAACAGAUUGUACAAUCUCCUCGUCAUUGUCGGAUACUGCUGGUGUAAUUAUAGGUGCAGGCUUCUCCGCAACGGAUAAAGCUACCUUAGUAGGUUGCUGUGGAACCAUUGGGACAACUUUUCGAACAGGUGGUGGAGGAACAGCAGUGCAGCCGAGAGCAGUCGCAGCAGCACAUGUUCCACGUCGGCUAUCUUCCUCAAUAAUAAACUGCUCAGUAUUCUCAUCUUCAACGUCCCAGGAAUCAUUGUUGGACCUUGAGACAAAAGACUGAACAAAUCCGAUCCCGAAAAAGCCCAACAGAUAUAUAACAGAAGCGAUCAACGAAACCAUAGCGACCAAUUCAGAAAAGGUGACCAUAUGGAGAGGCGUCGAAUUACGGAUCUUCUCACGCCACCUGACGAGAAGGAAAUACAUGACAGAGAAAAACAUGGUGAAAAAUAAACCAUUGGUUAGAUACAAUGGGAGUGGAAGGGCAUCAGAUGCUUUAGGAGAGGAAACUUGUUGGGUUUGUUU
rnacentral:lncRNA from 1 species